AUAUCAAUAAGCGGAGGAAAAGAAACCAACAGGGAUUGCCCCAGUAACGGCGAGUGAAGCGGCAACAGCUCAAAUUUGAAAUCUGGCCCCUAGGGCCCGAGUUGUAAUUUGCAGAGGAUGCUUUGGGCGAGGUGCCUUCCGAGUUCCCUGGAACGGGACGCCACAGAGGGUGAGAGCCCCGUCUGGUCGGACACCGAGCCUGUGUAAAGCUCCUUCGACGAGUCGAGUAGUUUGGGAAUGCUGCUCAAAAUGGGAGGUAUAUGUCUUCUAAAGCUAAAUAUUGGCCAGAGACCGAUAGCGCACAAGUAGAGUGAUCGAAAGAUGAAAAGCACUUUGAAAAGAGGGUUAAAAAGUACGUGAAAUUGUUGAAAGGGAAGCGCCUAUGACCAGACUUGGGCCCGGUGAAUCAUCCAGCGUUCUCGCUGGUGCACUUUGCCGGGCACAGGCCAGCAUCAGUUUGGCGCGGGGGACAAAGGCUUCGGGAAUGUGGCUCCCUCGGGAGUGUUAUAGCCCGCUGCGCAAUACCCUGCGCUGGACUGAGGUACGCGCAUCGCAAGGAUGCUGGCGUAAUGGUCAUCAGCGACCCGUCUUGAAACACGGACCAAGGAGUCGUCUUCGUAUGCGAGUGUUCGGGUGUCAAACCCCUACGCGUAAUGAAAGUGAACGCAGGUGAGAGCUUCGGCGCAUCAUCGACCGAUCCUGAUGUUCUCGGAUGGAUUUGAGUAAGAGCAUACGGGGCCGGACCCGAAAGAAGGUGAACUAUGCCUGUAUAGGGUGAAGCCAGAGGAAACUCUGGUGGAGGCUCGCAGCGGUUCUGACGUGCGAAUCGAUCGUCAAAUAUGGGCAUGGGGGCGAAAGACUAAUCGAACCUUCUAGUAGCUGGUUUCCGCC
rnacentral:rRNA from 1 species